rnacentral:misc_RNA from 1 species
ACAGAACCUAAAUAUGGGCGGGCAACAGGCCAACCGCUAGAAAACGAAAGAACCACAGCUGCCGUUGAAUCAGCGAAAAAACCAAUAGUAUCUCCUUCGCACGAUCUGGUUCACACAAACACGUCGAAGGUAGAGGAGGCCGCGAGAUACUGGUCUUAUUCACGCACUCAAAGGGACUCCUUCUGACCUCACUUCCUCUCCUUCCUUUUCUGGCUUUUCUUCUUUGCUUUUGAGCCCAUGUCGUUCAAUCUCUUCUGCUACUCUGCGAUCCCCCUUCUCUAAAUCAAUCUCUAAAUGGCUGACGUUUUACGAAUACCAUCUUUUUACUCACCUCGUUUCUCUUCUUCUUUGCUCACCUCCUUCGCCUCUACCUUGAAUUCUCUCCAACCUCCUCUCCAACCGCCUCUCCCACCCAACAAUUCAGAUAAGAGGAUUUACCCUUUAGUAUAUUCUUCUGCUGGUGGUGUUUCUCCCUUUGAUCCCACGCUCAGGAAGCAAUUGCUUUCUUUUAAGGUGCAUGCAACCAUUGCUGAAACUGACCAGCCAAAAUGGUGGGAAAAGAAUGUAGGACCAAACAUGAUUGACAUUCAUUCUACACAAGAAUUUUUGGGUGCCUUAAGUCAAGCAGGAGACAGAUUAGUUAUUGUUGAAUUUUAUGGAACUUGGUGUGCUUCUUGCAGGGCAUUAUUUCCCAAGGUAAUUAUGCUUUGUUACUUGACAUUUUAUUCUUUAUUUUUUCUACUUUUUCAUUUUUUUAUUGUAUUUCAUGCAUUAACUUUGACCCAAAAAAAAAAAUAAUAAAAAAGAGCUUUGCUUUAUGUUUUUAAUAAAGUCUUCUGUGGUAUUUCUUCCAAAACCCCACUCCUAGGGAGGGAAAAAGCACCUGAGUUCACCUUAAUUAGCCCCUCGUGGGAUCUAGUUAGUCAUUGCCACAUGGUGUCGUAUUAUGUAACAAGGACAUCACAGUAAUAGAAGUCACUGACACUUCUAUCUCUGUGCUGACCAGCUUUUAGAGCUCAUUUUGUUUUGAGAAUGCCUUGCUGCAGGCCAACAAUGUUAUUAGCCUGCUUGUGAUUUAGGUUAUUAUAAACUUAAAGUAUACAAUCCUGCUAGUGCUUCAUAUCUAGAAUUAUACAGAAUCCAGUCAGCAUGAAAGACACCACUUCUCAUUCCUCUUUAAAUAUGCAAUGAUGUACAGUUAUGUGAAUUGCUGAGUUUUUGCUGAAAUUUUGUAUAACAUUAUCCACAUUAAAUUACUUGAUGAGAGAUGAAUCCACAACUUAAUCACAGACUACUCCAGGGUGGAUAAAACAGAGAUUAUGAGGUUUUGUUAAUGGUGAUUCUGUAUGCGAAUUCAUCCCUUGUGAGUAAGUACCUUAAAGUAAAUUGGAAUUUUUGUUCUAUCCACAUGGAUGUACACUAUCUAAGGAGCAGUUGCAGGAUAUAUUUGAAAAUUCUAAAUGUGAUGAUGAUAGCCGCUGCAUUGUCCCUUUUUUUUUUUCUGUUUAUUCUUCUUUGACAACCUUUGAUUAGAAAUGAUAUUAUAAAGCACUGGAUCACCAAUUCUUUAGACCUUUGUUUAUUUCCAUUGCUGAUUUUUUUUUUAUUGAAAUUGAUUGGGUGGUUUUGAAUGGAUUAGAAAGGCAUAUUUGGUGUUCUUUCUAUUAUAUGAUUAUAGCAUGCAAAUAAGCUCAGAGAGUUAAUGUUAAUGUGAAACAGAAUGAGUGUGGUUCAGGAUAUCAUGGACUGAUCUUGUUUAUACAUUUUAUUGUUCAUAUUGGCAUGAUAUUAAUGCAUGAUGUUGUAAUGGACAUCACCCCACUCCUGGCUGGGCCCUUUUUUGGUGGUGGGUGGGUGUUUCCAGAAACCUGAAAAGGAAGUGCUAUUUGUCAAGAGAAAAGAGAAAUGUAAGAAAACAGUUAAAUGUUGUACUGCUUGAAAGUUUUCCUAGUGUCUCUUGCUGAUUUUUUCUUGUGAUGGGUUGGACAGCUCUGCAGGACAGCUGAAGAACAUCCUGAUAUUUUAUUCCUCAAAGUGAAUUUUGAUGAAAACAAGCCCAUGUGCAAAAGUUUGAAUGUUAAAGUGCUUCCUUACUUCCACCUCUAUCGUGGUGCUCUUGGACAAUUGGAAUCCUUUUCAUGUUCGCUCGCUA